GGGCUCAUAGCUCAGUUGGUUAGAGCACUGCCUUGAUAAGGCAGGGGUCGGUGGUUCGAGUCCACCUGGGCCCA
rnacentral:tRNA from 1 species